GGGGCCGACCGGUUUUGACAGCAAGACCAAUGGCGAUGUAAGCAUGUCGAGCGCUGGGAUACAGCUCGUUAAUCUCAUGUUUCACACUUUUUAAUUGGCGAAAAUAAUUACGCUCUUGCCGCAUAAUCUGAAUUAUAGUAGGAUGUGCCUCGUCCCUACCAGGUAGGGAAGCGAGAUGUUCCUGAAUAGCCCUUGUUGACGGCGAUUCGUUUAGGAGCACCAAAAAAGUCAACACAAGGGUGUUCGUUCGCUUUGGCGACACCUCUAAAACCUUAAGAAGAUAAGUGUAUAUUAGGCCGUAUCUGGUCAGGUAUGCAACGAAAAUUAAGCAGAUACUAAGCAUGUAGAAAGCAUGGUUAUUGCUUGUUUGGACGAGGGUUCGAAUCCCUCCGGCUCCACUG
rfam:Muricauda ruestringensis DSM 13258, complete genome.